rnacentral:rRNA from 1 species
CCUACGGGUGGCAGCAGUCGAGAAUCAUUCACAAUGGGGGAAACCCUGAUGGUGCGACGCCGCGUGGGGGAAUGAAGGUCUUCGGAUUGUAAACCCCUGUCAUGUGGGAGCAAAUUAAAAAGAUAGUACCACAAGAGGAAGAGACGGCUAACUCUGUGCCAGCAGCCGCGGUAAUACAGAGGUCUCAAGCGUUGUUCGGAAUCACUGGGCGUAAAGCGUGCGUAGGCUGUUUCGUAAGUCGUGUGUGGAAGGCGCGGGCUCAACCCGCGGACGGCACAUGAUACUGCGAGACUAGAGUAAGGGAGGGGGAACCGGAAUUCUCGGUGUAGCAGUGAAAUGCGUAGAUAUCGAGAGGAACACUCGUGGCGAAGGCGGGUUCCUGGACAGUAACUGACGCUGAGGCACGAAGGCCAGGGGAGCGAAAGGGAUUAGAUACCCCGGUAGUC